rnacentral:rRNA from 1 species
UGCCAGCCGCCGCGGUAAUACGGAGGGGGUUAGCGUUGUUCGGAAUUACUGGGCGUAAAGCGUACGUAGGCGGAUUAGUCAGUCAGAUGUGAAAUCCCAGGGCUCAACCUUGGAACUGCAUUUGAAACUGGUUAACCAGAGUCUUGUAGAGGGGGGUAGAAUUUCAGGUGUAGCGGUGAAAUGCGUAGAGAUCUGAAGGAAUACCAGUGGCGAAGGCGGCCCCCUGGACAAAGACUGACGCUCAGAUGCGAAAGCGUGGGGAGCAAACAGGAUUAGAUA